rnacentral:rRNA from 1 species
AUACGGAGGAUCCAAGCGUUAUCCGGAAUCAUUGGGUUUAAAGGGUCCGUAGGCGGUUUUAUAAGUCAGUGGUGAAAUCCGGUAGCUCAACUAUCGAACUGCCAUUGAUACUGUAGAACUUGAAUUAUUGUGAAGUAACUAGAAUAUGUAGUGUAGCGGUGAAAUGCUUAGAUAUUACAUGGAAUACCAAUUGCGAAGGCAGGUUACUAACAAUACAUUGACGCUGAUGGACGAAAGCGUGGGGAGCGAACAGGAUUAGAUACCCUGGUAGUCCACGCCGUAAACGAUGGAUACUAGCUGUUCGGUAGCAAUACUGAGUGGCUAAGCGAAAGUGAUAAGUAUCCCACCUGGGGAGUACGAACGCAAGUUUGAA